UACGGGGGGGCAAGCGUUGUUCGGAAUUACUGGGCGUAAAGGGCUCGUAGGCGGCCAACUAAGUCGGACGUGAAAUCCCUCGGCUUAACCGGGGAACUGCGUCCGAUACUGGAUGGCUUGAGAUUGGGAGAGGGAUGCGGAAUUCCAGGUGUAGCGGUGAAAUGCGUAGAUAUCUGGAGGAACACCGAAUGGCGAAGGCGAGCUC
rnacentral:rRNA from 1 species